UUGUCCUACGGGGCGCAGCAGUGGGGAAUAUUGCACAAUGGGGGAAACCCUGAUGCAGCGACGCCGUGUGAGUGAAGAAGUAUCUCGGUACGUAAAGCUCUAUCAGCAGGGAAGAAAAUGACGGUACCUGACUAAGAAGCCCCGGCUAACUACGUGCCAGCAGCCGCGGUAAUACGUAGGCGGCAAGCGUUAUCCGGAUUUACUGGGUGUAAAGGUUGCGUAGACGGCAGCACAAGUCUGGAGUG
rnacentral:rRNA from 1 species